UACGGGGGGGGCAAGCGUUGUUCGGAAUUACUGGGCGUAAAGGGCGCGUAGGCGGCCCGCUAAGUCGAACGUGAAAUCCCCGAGCUCAACUCGGGAACUGCGUCCGAUACUGGCGGGCUUGAAUCCGGGAGAGGGAUGCGGAAUUCCAGGUGUAGCGGUGAAAUGCGUAGAUAUCUGGAGGAACACCGGUGGCGAAGGCGGCAUCCUGGACCAAUUCUGACGCUGAGUGAGCGAAAGCCAGGGGAGCAAACGGG
rnacentral:rRNA from 1 species